rnacentral:rRNA from 1 species
GACGAACGCUGGCGGCGUGCUUAACACAUGCAAGUCGAACGGAAAGGCCCUGCUUUUGUGGGGUGCUCGAGUGGCGAACGGGUGAGUAACACGUGAGUAACCUGCCCUUGACUUUGGGAUAACUUCAGGAAACUGGGGCUAAUACCGGAUAGGAGCUCCUGCUGCAUGGUGGGGGUUGGAAAGUUUCGGCGGUUGGGGAUGGACUCGCGGCUUAUCAGCUUGUUGGUGGGGUAGUGGCUUACCAAGGCUUUGACGGGUGGCCGGCCUGAGAGGGUGACCGGCCACAUUGGGACUGAGAUACGGCCCAGACUCCUACGGGAGGCAGCAGUGGGGAAUAUUGCACAAUGGGCGGAAGCCUGAUGCAGCAACGCAGCGUGCGGGAUGACGGCCUUCGGGUUGUAAACCGCUUUCGCCUGUGACGAAGCGUGAGUGACGGUAAUGGGUAAAGAAGCACCGGCUAACUACGUG